GUGGGGAAUAUUGGACAAUGGGCGCAAGCCUGAUCCAGCAAUGCCGCGUGUGUGAAGAAGGUCUUCGGAUCGUAAAGCACUUUCGACGGGGACGAUGAUGACGGUACCCGUAGAAGAAGCCCCGGCUAACUUCGUGCCAGCAGCCGCGGUAAUACGAAGGGGGCUAGCGUUGCUCGGAAUUACUGGGCGUAAAGGGCGCGUAGGCGGCUCUGUGAGUCAGGCGUGAAAUUCCUGGGCUUAACCUGGGGACUGCGCUUGAUACUGCAGGGCUUGAGGCCGAGAGAGGGUGGUGGAAUUCCCAGUGUAGAGGUGAAAUUCGUAGAUAUUGGGAAGAACACCGGUGGCGAAGGCGACCACCUGGCUCGGUACUGACGCUGAGGCGCGACAGCGUGGGGAGCAAACAGGAUUAGAUACCCGUGUAGUC
rnacentral:rRNA from 1 species